GAGUACCAGCCUUUCUGAUCUGCCUAUCUCGCACAAAAGCGUGUCAUUUAUUAAGUCAGAAGCACUGCCAAGAGAACUUUGCACAAAUUAAAAUGCUCAAAGCUUGACAAGAAUCAGAGUUUCUCUGAGUUUAGAUGAAAAUUAACUUAUUUUUCUUGCAGUAGGGAUAGAGUGAUGUUUUAGAGAUGAGACAAUGUCUGCUGUGCCCAUGUGCUGUCUCAUAUUACUCUGGAUUUCACGCUUCCAUUUAUAUUAUAGCAUCAGAGCACAUUAUUGCCUAGCUGCAAGGUAAUUACUGGAAAGGUUUCAUGAGGUAAGACUAUUAUGAUCUGAUAAGAAACUGUCUUUUUGUUUUGUUUUCUGCCUACAUCACAGCAAGCGUCUAACAAGACUAAAUUAUAACUGAGAGCAGCUGGUAAUAGUUGCAAAUGUAAUCAGUUAGCAGAAGCCCUGAGCCACAAAAUCAAAUGAAGGGAAGAGGUGAAGCAGCAAUCUGCCCACCCUCGGAAGUGAGAGUCUGCAUAUGUACACUUACACAUGCAACCAAACUGCAUAGAGAAGGUCUAGCAUACUCCUUUCUGGCUCUAAACGUACAGGUCACACUCCCUGUAACACCUCACCACGCUGCAGGAAAUGAGCCCAGCAGAGAAGCACUUCUUCACCCGCAGCACAAAGUCACCUCUGCACCGAGCCCUGGGGCCACCUCCCCUGGAAGAGGCAGAUGCUAAGGACUGCACCUGGACAAUUUUCACAGCUUUCUGAACAUGAGAGUUAGGGAGAUUUCAGCCAGAAGCCAAGCCAAUCCUGGAAGGGACACCUUACCACGCAUCUUCAGUGAGCAUCUAGCACAAAAAAAAAAAAAAAAAAAAAAAAAAAAAAAGGAUAGACAGAGGCAAAAAGCAGGGAGCCUAUCUCUCCCAGGACAUCACAGAUUUUAACGGAUACCUGCAGUGUUACCCAAAGCUACCAGUGAGCAAGGUGCAGGCAGGAAGGAGUUAGGGACCGAAGCCCAUCGGAUCGCAGCAUCCACCAAGUGGGUGACUCGUCUGCUGCAGCAACGUCACGGGGCUCCAAAGACAAAGCAUCCUUGGCUCUGCCAGGGGCUGUCCUGCUGUCUGUCAAAGGCCAGCAACUGGAAGCAGUGCCAGUGAAAUCUUGUGCCUAGCGGGGAUAUAAAAAUAUUCUGAGCACUGCUGAGAGCUGAAGCUUCACAGAGAGGGAAGCAGCUGAAGGCACCUAGCUUUGGAGCAUCACGCCGAUGAUGGGAAGCGACUGCACUCCACUGUGUGCCCAACGCCCAUCUCUCUGUUGGCUUGGCAGUGUAGAGUCAUCCUUCCACUGGAAUGGUUUUGUGGAUUACAAUUAAGGAAAUCUCCAAAACACAACAGCUGAUCAUGGAGGAAGCCAUGGAGAGAGGAGACAAAACUGUACACCCAUUCCUAAUCCUACAGUCACCAUGGAUCACUUUUCAAUCAGCAAAAAGGACUUUACAGGAGUUUUCUAGAUAUCUUAUAAAUCCUCCUUCACUAUUGUACUGUCACAGGAUGUUCAUACAAUAAGCAAAGCAGCAUAUAACUCUUCCUCCACUACUGAACAGAGAUAAUACUUCCACAAAAUAGAAACUCCUCAAUUAUUUCUGUAAAUAGUUGUAUGGUUUCUUUGCCAGAAUCUACUCCAAAAUACUUGCAGUUACUUAUGUGAAGCUCUGUCAGGCCCAGAUUUAGCUUCUGACACAAGAAAGCAAGAUCUCCAUAGAUGGCUGAGAAGGGAUAGCCAAUACACCUAAACUUGUGAGAAAAAAAAAUAAUAAUUGUAAUCAGUGCUGUGAGGGCCGUGAGGGAUCUAAAGCUUGUGACUGAAAUUCUUAAUUUUCAUCUUGCUGAAUCCCAUUAAAUCCUUCUCACUUUUGUUUUCCUUCACAUGCAAAUGAUUUGUUUUAAACAACAGCAACAUUUGUUUCUGUAAUGAAAUAACAUAGAUGAAUGUCACAGCCCUGUGUUAAGUGCUCCCAACACUUAAAAAAUUGAAGUGGAUGACACAACACUUAGCCUUGCAGAGGAUUCAAUAUUGACAGCUCACAGUUUGGCCCCCAGUGCUCCCCUGCAGCUCCCCCAAACCAGACAGCUCAGGGAAGGCCAACAAGCCUCGCUGAUGGGUGCCCCGCUGAUGGGAUCACCUCUGCAGGUCACUAUUUACAGGAAUUUCUUGUUCACAUCUACAUUAACUCUGGCAUUUUCUCUUGCACAUCUGCCAAUGACUUCUUGCCAAGGCAGUCAACCAAGUUCCAUUCCCAAAAGCAUAAUUUUUUAUCAGAUAUAUUAAAAUCAGUAAUCUGAUUUAUAAGUAUUUUUCCCCUUUUAGAGUGCAAUUUUUUAACAACUGUAUGACUGCAGAAAGCUGAAGGUGAGUGGAAAUACUCUCCUCCCCUUUGAUGCAGAAAAAUAAACCUUUUCUGUCCUCAGGGUACAAGAGACUGCUGCCAUGCACUGAAAUAUUUAAAUAAAUUCUGCUGAGCCCGCAUAUCACCCACCAGCUUGGUACUCCUGGCCCAUUUUUUGCUGGUCCAUGAUAACUCUGCAGUUAGUUAUUUAUAGCCUAUAACCACAUCUGACAUUGUCACAUCAUUAUAGCCAAUUCUGGUCUCUUUGAGCCUGGAUCAGUGUAAUUCCAGGAGAGAUGCAGGAGAGAUGCCAGGUAGCAGUGAGAUUAUCUCUAGCUGCUAAAAAGUCUCUUAAAAGCUUAAAGCUAGUAUGUGAUCCUGCAUGUCAGUAAUUACCUGAGGAUGAGUCAUAAAAUCCAAAGAAGCAGCAACCUGAACAGAAUCAGAAACAGCUUCUGCUUGUUCAAGUUCACCAUAGUAUUGGAAUGAUGGAUACAUAGUGUAGGUAUUUUUGCACCUUGCCUAUGCAACGUUGCCUUUGCAAAGUAGAUAACAUCUUCAUUUUAAAGGUGGGAGCUCAGAGAGUAAAAUCAAGAGUGGAUUAUUCCCUCCUAGGAGCACUGUCUCUUGGCCACUGUGGUGGUUUUACUCAGGUGGGAGUAAAAACCACCACAAUCGCUUUCUCACUCCCCCUCCUCAAAGAGGAACAGGGAGAAAAUAUGAUGGAAAGGGCUCAAGGGUUGAGAUAAGGACGGGGAAGUCACUCUCGUCCCCUGUGCUGUGGGGUCCCUCCCACGGGAUGCAGUCCUUGCUGAACUGACCCUGUGUGGUCUUCCCACAGUGUCUUCAAGCACUGCUCUCACACGGCUCCAUCCCACGGGGUCCAUCCCCCAGGAGCAAACUGCUCCAGCACGGGUCCCCCACAGCUGGGGGCAGCUCCCCCCAGACCCCUGCUCCUGCGUGGGCUCCUCUCCACAGGCUGCAGCUCCGUCCCGGAAUCUGCUCUGACAGGGAACAGAGAUCUGUACAGUUCUCCUGGUACACUUCAGAGUUUCCAUACACUUUUCUCCAGAGCUGAACCGCAUAUCUCCUGCUCGUGCAUUAUCUCUGUCUCUCACCACACUGCUUUUAGAGAUACUGUCAGUGUGUUUGCUGAUUCUGGGUGUUGGAGACUGUCCCAGGCAAGCAGAAAUGGUGCUCAUUUCUCCCUGGCUCCCUCAGACUGGAUUAUUCAGUUCGUUUCAGAGCGGUGUUGUUGCACAAAGAAAAUACUUCAGACACUGACAAACAGCUGCAUUAAAGUACAUAUCCUGAAGGACAGAACAUCAGCCUACAGGCCACCCUAAAGUGGCAGACAAGUCAGUUGUUACUUGAGAGGACAAAGGCUUUGAGUGCCAUCAAGCAGAAUGGCAUGGAGGGGAGCAGAUGGAGAGAAAGCCUGAUGUUUUUAACACAUGAAUUGGCACUACUGCUGAAAGCCCUUACCAGUGCAGUAUUGCAGUUUGAUAUUAGCAUUCAGUACAAUAGUUGCUGAUAUUUGGCCUAAAUCAGUUCCAUCUUUUCUUAUUUAUGACACUUGACUUUUCCACUUCUCCCUAUACUUUCAACAGCAGGUGCUUAGGGAACUGUCAGAAAUUGUAAGAUAAAUUGUAUGAAGAGAUCAAAACAAAAUUCUCUUACGAACUGCCAUUUUUUGAAAGCUGUGCUUAUUAAUGUAUAUAAAUUGUGGCCCUAAUUUCACAUAAAAAUAAUAUUAAAAAAAAAAAGUAGCAAUAUCACCUUCAGUAAGUACAAGGAACAGACAGUAACUCCAAAUAUCCAAAUAAUACUAUACACAGUGUAUACAAAUGACAGAACAUCCAGCAAGGACCUCCUAAAGUAUCUCUAUCACCUAACUAUGAAGAGACUACAUGCAUGUUACUGGUGUAUAAACGGUAGCUCAGGGCAAAGACCUUAAGAGAUUUGCUUAAGGACACCCACCUUGCUGAGAGCCUGGGAUUUCAGCCCCCCUGGGCGUAUGACUUACCACUGUUGCCUCUUCAUGUGACCAAAACGUGUACUGAUUUUCUUUCCUUUUUAUCAAGUGUGUUUGUGUUCCUCAAUAAGCAGUUCAAGAGGCCCAGUGAGAAAGCAAUACCUGCUGUUUGGCGCUGCCACUACUAUGUCAGCCAUACAGGUUUGUAAUACUAAAGAAAGUGGCUGCAUACACUCAGUGUCAUCAUAUAUUUUCUCUAGCGCUCCUAGAUCUUAAAAUAUGAAAGAGCAGACUCGUAAGGAUUAAUUCUAUAUUCUUAAUGUAAUAUCUGAACGUUUGCAGUGCUCCAGGCAUGGCAUGUGGGGGAAGUGACAACUCCAAGUGCAGCAUGCAACCCCCCAGCAGAACCCCUACACUACAUACCAGCACAGGGGACCUAAGCAAGUCCGACGGACUUGGCCUUACUCUACAUAAAGAAAAGUUCAAUUCUCAUUGCAGUGCACAGUCCCUUUUCCUUAGCAUGUUGUUGAUUUUUUUAGCUAUUUCAUUUCAAAACAGAAGGUUUAAUUGUGACUAUGUCGUCAUAAGCUAAUUCUGAGGAGAAGUUACAGGAAAGUUACAGGAAAUACCCCCACAGCCUAACAGAGGGAGUUUGAUUUGUCUUUACAGGAAUGAAUAACAUUUGAAUAUGAAAUAUGAAAUAGUGAAUAGCUAUUUAAUUUGUACAUUUUAAACAUUUUUAUGUACAUUUUUUAAACUCAACCAAGUUUUGGUUGAGUUUAAAACCAACAGAUAUUUAACAGCUGUCUAAUUCAUUUAAUGACCAAUUUGUAUUUUCCAAAGAAAAUAUGAAUACUGUUUCAUCUAAUACAUCCUUACUUCCUAUAUAAAUUAUUCAUAAAUACUGUAUUUAUUGUCAAAUGAAGUUUUCACCUUUUAUGAUUACUGUAUGAUUUAAUAAGACAUUCUGUAUACACAGUAAAUGAACAGUCUAUGGACUGACAUUUUCCAGCAGUUUCAAAAAUUAGCUUUCUAAAUGUAUUAAGCUGUUCUCAGGACUCCAGAAAUAAACUCCUCAGGCAAAAUUACGUACCUUUAAUCCAACCAUAAGCACCAGAGUGGAAGUGUUUUUAUUUUUUCUAAGCUGAACACACUUUCAACAACCGCUUAUCAUCAACGCAUGAGCACUGAUGACAUAAAUAACCCAUGUAUUUGCCCAUAUAAUAUAUGUAUGUAUGUAUAUAUAUAUUAUGUGUGUAUAUAUAUAUUACAUGUAUAUAUAAACAUAGAUUUGGGGGC